rnacentral:rRNA from 1 species
UGGGGAAUUUUGGACAAUGGGCGAAAGCCUGAUCCAGCAAUGCCGCGUGUGUGAAGAAGGCCUUCGGGUUGUAAAGCACUUUUGUCCGGAAAGAAAUCCUUGGCUCUAAUACAGUCGGGGGAUGACGGUACCGGAAGAAUAAGCACCGGCUAACUACGUGCCAGCAGCCGCGGUAAUACGUAGGGUGCAAGCGUUAAUCGGAAUUACUGGGCGUAAAGCGUGCGCAGGCGGUUUGCUAAGACCGAUGUGAAAUCCCCGGGCUCAACCUGGGAACUGCAUUGGUGACUGGCAGGCUAGAGUAUGGCAGAGGGGGGUAGAAUUCCACGUGUAGCAGUGAAAUGCGUAGAGAUGUGGAGGAAUACCGAUGGCGAAGGCAGCCCCCUGGGCCAAUACUGACGCUCAUGCACGAAAGCGUGGGGAGCAAACAGGAUUAGAUACCCUGGUAGUCCACGCCCUAAACGAUGUCAACUAGUUGUUGGGGAUUCAUUCCUUAGUAACGUAGCUAACGCGUGAAGUUGACCGCCUGGGGGAGUACGGUCGCAAGAUUAAACUCAAAGGAAUUGACGGGGUCAUAGCUGUUUCCU